UACAUAUGAAUAUUAGCGUUU
rnacentral:piRNA from 1 species